CGGCCCGGUUCAGGUCCGCCCCCUUUACAUUCCGUACAGGUCUCCGCAAAGCAACACUCUGACUCCGAGGCUUUGGUAGCAUAAGGGUCCUGGUCGAGUUUCUGCUUCCUGUGGGGGCAACGUGGGCCGUGGUAACGGGCAAUGGUUUUGUCCUGUUAGCUGUGUCAGUGACAUCACAUUGGUUUGGUUGCUGCAUCACACAGAUAUGUGAAUCACAAACAUCCCUUUGGGCAGAGUGUGCGCUGCCAUUCCUUUCCCUGGAUUAGGAAAGGAUGAAGAUGCAAAAUUUUGGCGAUAAUGGGUGUCAAUUUAUCAGACAGAUAAGAGAGCCUUUAGUAGCAGAGACAAGGAACAGUCAGGUACAAAUCGGAGUCAUCCCUCAAGAUGAAUUGACAUGCAUGGUGUUACCUCACUCAAAUUCCUGCACCCAACAAGAAGCUUGCCAGACUGCCAACGCAGCAGCAAACAUGAUGCCUGAACUAA